rnacentral:rRNA from 1 species
GAUGAACGCUAGCGGCAGGCUUAACACAUGCAAGUCGAGGGGUAUUGGUUUUCGGACCAAGAGACCGGCGCACGGGUGCGUAACGCGUAUGCAAUCUACCUUUUGCAGAGGGAUAGCCCAGAGAAAUUUGGAUUAAUACCUCAUAGUAUAGUACUUUGGCAUCAAGGAACUAUUAAAGUCACAACGGCAAAAGAUGAGCAUGCGUCCCAUUAGCUAGUUGGUAAGGUAACGGCUUACCAAGGCUACGAUGGGUAGGGGUCCUGAGAGGGAGAUCCCCCACACUGGUACUGAGACACGGACCAGACUUCUACGGGAGGCAGCAGUGAGGAAUAUUGGACAAUGGGCGCAAGCCUGAUCCAGCCAUGCCGCGUGCAGGGAAGACGGUCCUAUGGAUUGUAAACUGCUUUUANACAGGAAGAAACACUCCCUCGUGAGGGAACUUGACGGUACUGUAUGAAUAAGCACCGGCUAACUACGUGCCAGCAGCCGCGGUAAAGU